rnacentral:rRNA from 1 species
AUUGAACGCUGGCGGCAUGCUUUACACAUGCAAGUCGAACGGCAGCGGGGGCUUCGGUCCGCCGGCGAGUGGCGAACGGGUGAGUAAUGCAUCGGAACGUGCCCAGUCGUGGGGGAUAACACAUCGAAAGAUGUGCUAAUACCGCAUACGUCCUGAGGGAGAAAGCGGGGGAUCUUCGGACCUCGCGCGAUUGGAGCGGCCGAUGUCGGAUUAGCUAGUUGGUGAGGUAAAGGCUCACCAAGGCGACGAUCCGUAGCGGGUCUGAGAGGAUGAUCCGCCACACUGGGACUGAGACACGGCCCAGACUCCUACGGGAGGCAGCAGUGGGGAAUUUUGGACAAUGGGGGGAACCCUGAUCCAGCCAUGCCGCGUGAGUGAA